rnacentral:rRNA from 1 species
AAGACCUUGCACUUUUGGAGCGGCCGAUGCCUGAUUAGCUAGUUGGUGGGGUAAUGGCCUACCAAAGCUUCGAUCAGUAGCUGGUCUGAGAGGACGGCCAGCCACACUGGGACUGAGACACGGCCCAGACUCCUACGGGAGGCAGCAGUGGGGAAUUUUGGACAAUGGGCGCAAGCCUGAUCCAGCCAUGCCGCGUGAGUGAAGAAGGCCUUCGGGUUGUAAAGCUCUUUCAGCCGGGAAGAAAAGGUUGCGAUUAAUAAUCGCAAUUUAUGACGGUACCGGAAGAAGAAGCACCGGCUAACUACGUGCCAGCAGCCGCGGUAAUACGUAGGGUGCGAGCGUUAAUCGGAAUUACUGGGCGUAAAGGGUGCGCAGGCGGUUUUGUAAGUCAGAUGUGAAAUCCCCGGGCUUAACCUGGGAAC